GACGAACGCUGGCGGCGUGCUUAACACAUGCAAGUCGAACGGAAAGGCCCUGCUUUUGUGGGGUGCUCGAGUGGCGAACGGGUGAGUAACACGUGAGUAACCUGCCCUUGACUUUGGGAUAACUUCAGGAAACUGGGGCUAAUACCGGAUAGGAGCUCCUGCUGCAUGGUGGGGGUUGGACAGUUUCGGCGGUUGGGGAUGGACUCGCGGCUUAUCAGCUUGUUGGUGGGGUAGUGGCUUACCAAGCCUUUGACGGGUAGCCGGCCUGAGAGGGUGACCGGCCACAUUGGGACUGAGAUACGGCCCAGACUCCUACGGGAGGCAGCAGUGGGGAAUAUUGCACAAUGGGCGGAAGCCUGAUGCAGCAACGCCGCGUGCGGGAUGACGGCCUUCGGGUUGUAAACCGCUUUCGCCUGUGACGAAGCGUGAGUGACGGUAAUGGGUAAAGAAGCACCGGCUAACUACGUG
rnacentral:rRNA from 1 species